rnacentral:tRNA from 1 species
GCCUGCGUAGCUCAGCGGUAGAGCACAUCCUUGGUAAGGAUGAGGUCACCGGUUCAAGCCCGGUCGCAGGCUCCA